rnacentral:lncRNA from 1 species
GGCUACUUACCAUGGCCCAGUGAAUUUUGCUAAGAAGAUCUUGAGUAAAAGGUUUAGGGCAUUGAAUGCUGCAUUGAUGAAAUAUAAAAUGGGAGUCAGAAGAAUGACGACAACCUCAAUUUUAAAUCUUAGCCUCCCUUUUCCCAUGCCAUGCUGAAGGAAUCGAUUAUGAAUCAAAUUUAGCCAUACAAUGGCUCUUCAAACCCUCU